rnacentral:rRNA from 1 species
UACGUAGGUGGCAAGCGUUGUCCGGAAUUAUUGGGCGUAAAGCGCGCGCAGGUGGUUCCUUAAGUCUGAUGUGAAAGCCCACGGCUCAACCGUGGAGGGUCAUUGGAAACUGGGGAACUUGAGUGCAGAAGAGGAAAGUGGAAUUCCAAGUGUAGCGGUGAAAUGCGUAGAGAUUUGGAGGAACACCAGUGGCGAAGGCGACUUCUGGUCUGUAACUGACACUGAGGCGCGGAAAGCGUGGGGAGCAAACAGGA